rnacentral:rRNA from 1 species
CCUACGGGAGGCAGCAGUGGGGAAUAUUGCGCAAUGGGCGAAAGCCUGAUGCAGCGACGCCGCGUGAGUGAUGAAGGAAUUCGUUAUGUAAAGCUCUGUCAGCAGGGAAGAACAUGACGGUACCUAAUUAGCAAGCCCCGGCUAACUACUUCCCAGCAGCCGCGGUAAUACGUCGGGGGCGAGCGUUCUCCGGAUUUACUGGUGGGAAAGGGAGCGUAGACGGCAGUGCAAGUCUGGAGUGAAAGGCGGGGGCUCAACCCGCGGACUGCUCUGGAAACUGGACGGCUGGAGUGCAGGAGAGGUAAGUGGAAUUCCUAGUGUAGCGGUGAAAUGCGUAGAUAUUAGGAGGAACACCAGUGGCGAAGGCGACUUUCUGGACCGUAACUGACGUUGAGGCUCGAAAGCGUGGGGAGCAAACAGGAUUAGAUACCCCUGUAGUC